rnacentral:lncRNA from 1 species
CAAUCAACCGCUAACUACUUCUACUCUUCUCCUCCACCUCCGGUUAAACACUACCAAUACAAAUCUCCACCUCCUCCUGUUAAGCAUUACUCUCCCCCUCCAGUUUACCAUUCUCCACCACCACCUAAAAAACACUACGAAUACAAAUCCCCUCCUCCUCCGGUCAAGCAUUAUUCUCCACCACCGGUUUAUCACUCUCCACCACCACCAAAAAAGCACUACGAGUACAAAUCCCCUCCUCCUCCGGUUAAGCACUACUCUCCACCACCGGUUUACCAUUCUCCACCACCACCAAAGAAGCACUAUGUGUACAAAUCCCCUCCUCCUCCGGUUAAACACUAUUCUCCUCCUCCUGUUUACCAUUCUCCACCACCACCCAAGAAGCACUAUGUGUACAAAUCUCCACCCCCACCUGUUAUGCACUACUCUCCCCCACCAGUCUACCAUUCACCACCACCACCCAAAAAACAUUACGUAUACAAAUCUCCUCCUCCUCCGGUUAAACACUACUCACCACCUCCAGUUUACCAUUCCCCACCCCCACCUAAAAAGCAUUAUGUCUACAAAUCUCCUCCACCACCGGUUAAACACUACUCUCCUCCCCCGGUUUACCACUCUCCACCACCACCAAAGAAACACUACGUGUACAAAUCACCUCCUCCUCCAGUUAAGCACUAUUCUCCACCUCCAGUUUACCACUCUCCACCACCACCAAAGAAACACUACGUGUACAAAUCCCCUCCUCCCCCGGUUAAGCACUACUCCCCUCCUCCAGUUUACCAUUCCCCACCCCCACCAAAGAAACACUACGUCUACAAAUCUCCUCCUCCUCCAGUGAAACACUACUCUCCCCCUCCGGUUUACCAUUCCCCACCACCACCAAAGAAACAUUACGUGUACAAAUCCCCUCCUCCUCCAGUUAAACACUAUUCCCCACCACCGGUUUACCAUUCUCCACCACCACCAAAGAAGCACUACGUCUACAAAUCCCCUCCUCCUCCGGUUAAGCACUACUCUCCUCCUCCGGUUUAUCAUUCCCCACCACCACCUAAGAAAAAGUACGUAUAUAAGUCACCUCCUCCUCCAGUCCACCACUACUCUCCCCCACACCAUCCUUACCUCUACAAAUCUCCUCCUCCUCCAUACCACUAUUAGAAUUCUCUGUCACGGUA